rnacentral:rRNA from 1 species
UACGGCGGGCGCAAGCGUUGUUCGGAAUCAUUGGGCGUAAAGCGCGUGUAGGCGGCUUGGCACGUCGGGUGUGAAAUCCCGGGGCCCCACCCCGGAACUGCAUUCGAAACUGCCUCGCUAGAGUCCCGGAGAGGAAGGCGGAAUUCCCGGUGUAGAGGUGAAAUUCGUAGAUAUCGGGAGGAACACCAGCGGCGAAGGCGGCCGUCUGGACGGUGACUGGCGCUCGGACGCGAAAGCGUGGGGAGCAAACUGG